rnacentral:rRNA from 1 species
UACGAAGGGGGCUAGCGUUGUUCGGAUUUACUGGGCGUAAAGCGCACGUAGGCGGAUCGUUAAGUUAGGGGUGAAAUCCUGGAGCUCAACUCCAGAACUGCCUUUAAUACUGGCGAUCUAGAGUCCGGAAGAGGUGAGUGGAACUCCUAGUGUAGAGGUGGAAUUCGUAGAUAUUAGGAAGAACACCAGUGGCGAAGGCGGCUCACUGGUCCGGUACUGACGCUGAGGUGCGAAAGCGUGGGGAGCAAACAGG